AUGGGCCAGUUACGAUACCGAUAGUAUUAGCAUGACUGAAACACAUUGCCGUCUCAGUAAAACCAUUUUAUUUCAAGCUUCACGCUACAGUUCUGAAUCCGGACAAGACCGUUUCAAGUUCUCGCAAAAGCAAGCAGUCAAAUUAAGGUACUUACACGAGUUAGAGUCUAAUACAUUUUAUUGGUCCAACAUCGAUGGGGCGAUCUCGCAUCGAAAUUUUCGGAGGACCGCGUAACCUUCCAACGACGACCGCCGUACGAGCAGCGGAUAAACU
rnacentral:misc_RNA from 1 species